GCAUGCAAGUCGAGCGGGGUGUGGGGCUUGCACUAUCACUUAGCGGCGGACGGGUGAGUAAUGCUUAGGAAUCUGCCUAUUAGUGGGGGACAACAUCUCGAAAGGGAUGCUAAUACCGCAUACGUCCUACGGGAGAAAGCAGGGGAUCACUUGUGACCUUGCGCUAAUAGAUGAGCCUAAGUCGGAUUAGCUAGUUGGUGGGGUAAAGGCCUACCAAGGCGACGAUCUGUAGCGGGUCUGAGAGGAUGAUCCGCCACACUGGGACUGAGACACGGCCCAGACUCCUACGGGAGGCAGCAGUGGGGAAUAUUGGACAAUGGGGGGAACCCUGAUCCAGCCAUGCCGCGUGUGUGAAGAAGGCCUUAUGGUUGUAAAGCACUUUAAGCGAGGAGGAGGCUCUUUUGGUUAAUACCCAAGAUGAGUGGACGUUACUCGCAGAAUAAGCACCGGCUAACUCUGUGCCAGCAGCCGCGGUAAUACAGAGGGUGCAAGCGUUAAUCGGAUUUACUGGGCGUAAAGCGCGCGUAGGCGGCCAAUUAAGUCAAAUGUGAAAUCCCCGAGCUUAACUUGGGAAUUGCAUUCGAUACUGGUUGGCUAGAGUGUGGGAGAGGAUGGUAGAAUUCCAGGUGUAGCGGUGAAAUGCGUAGAGAUCUGGAGGAAUACCGAUGGCGAAGGCAGCCAUCUGGCCUAACACUGACGCUGAGGUGCGAAAGCAUGGGGAGCAAACAGGAUUAGAUACCCUGGUAGUCCAUGCCGUAAACGAUGUCUACUAGGCCGUUGGGGGCCUUUGAGGGCUUUAGUUGGGCGCAGCUAAACGCGAAUAAGUAGAACCGCCCUGGGGGAAGUACGGGUCGCAAGGACUAAAAACUCAAAU
rnacentral:rRNA from 1 species